rnacentral:rRNA from 1 species
AUGGGUUUAAAUUUGAUCAGCCACUUGGGUCGAACCAGACCAGACCACCCGCGCGAAUCAUCUCCACGCCACCCACCGGCCGUCGUUCUUUCCCCAUUCCUACGCCGCGCUCGCCAUCUCCCUCUCCGCCGCGGCGCCAUGCUCCGCCUCCGAAGCUGCACCCUCGCCCAUCUCCUCUCAUCUCCGGCCGCCUCUCCCGCGUCCCCUCUCCACCGCCUCCUCUCCGCUGCAGCGCCCGCCAUCUCCCCAAGCGACGGAUUCGCCGCCGAGGAGUACCUCGUCUCCACCUGCGGCCUCACCCGACCCCAGGCCGUCAAGGCCUCGAGAAAGCUCUCCCAUCUCAAAUCCCCAUCCAAGCCUGACGCCGUCCUCGCCUUCCUCGCCGGCCUCGGCCUCUCCGGCGCCGGUGUCGCCUCCCUCGUCGCCAAGGACCCCAGGCUCCUCUGCGCCGGCGUGCACAAGAGCCUGGCCCCCAACGUCGCGGACCUCACCAGCCUCGGUUGGUCACACUCCGAGGUCGCGCAACUCAUGGCGAUCGCCGGAGCAAACCUCCGCCCUAGAUCCGUCGUCUCCAAGCUGCAGUACUUCCGGUGGCUCUUCGGCUCCUUCGAGAACCUCCUCCGGGCGCUCAAGUUCAACUCUAACCUCCUCCAACACAACCUUGAGAGGGCGGUGAAGCCCAAUGCCACGUUUCCGAGCUGCCAUACAAUUUUCAGUCUGGUUGAGAAGGAAUUCAUGGAGAGGUACAUAUGCCCUCACAUGGAAGCUACACCGCACCUUGCUGAAGACUAUGCUGCUGCCUGCAGAGGGGCAAUGCCGACUAGUUUCAGAUUUACAUGA